UACGUAGGGGGCAAGCGUUGUCCGGAUUUAUUGGGCGUAAAGAGCGUGUAGGCGGCCUGACAGGUCUGCUGUGAAAACUCGAGGCUCAACCUCGAGAUGUCGGCGGAAACCGUCUGGCUAGAGUCCGGAAGAGGAGAGUGGAAUUCCUGGUGUAGCGGUGAAAUGCGGCAGAUAUCAGGAAGAACACCCGUGGCGAAGGCGGCUCUCUAGUACGUGACUGACGCUGAGACGCGAAAGCGUGGGAGCAACAGGAUAGAACUACGUACGUCGAGAUCCAAGAUCCAGUACCUGUCUACCGAUCGAUAACACU
rnacentral:rRNA from 1 species